rnacentral:rRNA from 1 species
UGGGGAAUUUUGGACAAUGGGCGAAAGCCUGAUCCAGCAAUGCCGCGUGUGUGAAGAAGGCCUUCGGGUUGUAAAGCACUUUUGUCCGGAAAGAAAUCCUUGGCUCUAAUACAGUCGGGGGAUGACGGUACCGGAAGAAUAAGCACCGGCUAACUACGUGCCAGCAGCCGCGGUAAUACGUAGGGUGCAAGCGUUAAUCGGAAUUACUGGGCGUAAAGCGUGCGCAGGCGGUUUGCUAAGACCGAUGUGAAAUCCCCGGGCUCAACCUGGGAACUGCAUUGGUGACUGGCAGGCUAGAGUAUGGCAGAGGGGGGUAGAAUUCCACGUGUAGCAGUGAGAUGCGUAGAGAUGUGGAGGAAUACCGAUGGCGAAGGCAGCCCCCUGGGCCAAUACUGACGCUCAUGCACGAAAGCGUGGGGAGCAAACAGGAUUAGAUACCCUGGUAGUCCACGCCCUAAAACGAUGUCAACUAGUUGUUGGGGAUUCAUUUCCUUAGUAACGUAGCUAACGCGUGAAGUUGACCGCCUGGGGAGUACGGUCGCAAGAUUAAAACUCAAAGGAAUUGACGGGGUCAUAGCUGUUUCCU